rnacentral:rRNA from 1 species
AUUGAACGCUGGCGGCAUGCCUUACACAUGCAAGUCGAACGGUAACAGGUCUUCGGAUGCUGACGAGUGGCGAACGGGUGAGUAAUACAUCGGAACGUGCCUAGUAGUGGGGGAUAACUACUCGAAAGAGUGGCUAAUACCGCAUGAGAUCUACGGAUGAGAGCAGGGGAUCGCAAGACCUUGUGCUACUAGAGCGGCCGAUGGCAGAUUAGGUAGUUGGUGGGAUAAAAGCUUACCAAGCCGACGAUCUGUAGCUGGUCUGAGAGGACGAUCAGCCAAACGGGGACUGAGAAACGGCCCAGACUCCUACGGGAGGCAGCAGUGGGGAAUUUUGGACAAUGGGCGCAAGCCUGAUCCAGCAAUGCCGCGUGCAGGAUGAAGGCCUUCGGGUUGUAAACUGCUUUUGUACGGAACGAAAAGCCCCGGGUUAAUACCCUGGGGUCAUGACGGUACCGUAAGAAUAAGCACCGGCUAACUACGUGCCAGCCGCCGCGGUAA